UGCGUAGGCGGGUCUUUAAGUCAGGGGUGAAAUCCUGGAGCUCAACUCCAGAACUGCCUUUGAUACUGAGGAUCUUGAGUUCGGGAGAGGUGAGUGGAACUGCGAGUGUAGAGGUGAAAUUCGUAGAUAUUCGCAAGAACACCAGUGGCGAAGGCGGCUCACUGGCCCGAUACUGACGCUGAGGCAAGACGUGGGAGGCAAACA
rnacentral:rRNA from 1 species